rnacentral:rRNA from 1 species
UGGGGAAUAUUGCACAAUGGGCGCAAGCCUGAUGCAGCCAUGCCGCGUGUAUGAAGAAGGCCUUCGGGUUGUAAAGUACUUUCAGCGGGGAGGAAGGGAGUAAAGUUAAUAACUUUGCUCAUUGACGUUACCCGCAGAAGAAGCACCGGCUAACUCCGUGCCAGCAGACGCGGUAAUACGGAGGGUGCAAGCGUUAGUCGGAAUUACUGGGCGUAAAGCGCACGCAGGCGGUUUGUUAAGUCAGAUGUGAAAUCCCAGGGCUCAACCUGGGAACUGCAUCUGAUACUGGCAAGCUUGAGUCUCGUAGAGGGGGGUAGAAUUCCAGGUGUAGCGGUGAAAUGCGUAGAGAUCUGGAGGAAUACCGGUGGCGAAGGCGGCCCCCUGGACGAAGACUGACGCUCAGGUGCGAAAGCGUGGGGAGCAAACAGG